GGGACAGUUCUGGUUUUGUCAAGAGUAUUCUGGAAGGCUGACAAACCUAGAACUGCCCCAU
rnacentral:pre_miRNA from 1 species